CCCUUAGAUGUUCUGGGCCGCACGCGCGCUACACUGAUACGUUCAACGAGUCCAAAACCUUGAUUGAUAGGUCUGGGUAAUCUUUUGAAUACGUAUCGUGCUAGGGAUAGAUUAUUGCAAUUAUUAAUCUUGAACGAGGAAUUCCUAGUAAACGCAAGUCAUCAGCUUGCAUUGAUUACGUCCCUGCCCUUUGUACACACCGCCCGUCGCUCCUACCGAUCGAAGAGUUAGGUGAAUUGUUUUGAUCGAUAAGAUUUGACUAUGGUCAACUCUCGUUGUGAAAUUCUGUGAAUCUGACUGUUUAGAGGAAGGAAAAGUCGUAACA
rnacentral:rRNA from 1 species